GUUCACCUGAGCUUGUCUUAAAGCUUAAACAGUCCCUGGUUUGUGCUGCUCUUUGUGAAGUAUUGCCGGUUGCUUGGACUAUUGAGUGGCUGACUGGUGUUCAUCUUCUGGGUGGAUGGAUGGAUGGAUGGAUGGACUUCACGUAUUCUGUUGCCUUUCUCUUAUAAGUGGCUGCCACAACUGACGUCGAGCACUUUUGGAGUGGCGCUGAUACCAAACAGGGAUUCAAAUAUUCAUCUAGAUGUUUAUUCAUAUUUUCAAGUAAAUUCAUGCAGUUUUAAAAAAAAAAAAUGCAGCAUGAAGUAAACGUAUCGUAAUAUUCCAACGUCA